CUAAUGUCUAAAGAAGAAAUUCAUUCGCGUUUCGACUGUCGAAGUUGAAUGUUUGUAUGACGGAUAGCGUUUCGGCGUCGUCCGCUUCUUAUGUUCUUCGUGUCGAUGUCAGAACGCGUGCACUUUUCCUCUAAGUAGGACGUCGCGAUCCGUUGGGUGUCUGUCUAAGACUCGAGGUGGAGCCCGCGUAAUUUUUAAUUAUGCGGACCCUUGAUGUUCCGACAGACUCGCUCGACGGUAUGCUAAUGGCGCGGGGCCGCUACUUUAGUUAGCGUUCGGCCCGUAGCAAGCACGUUCUGUGUUUGACGGCGAUCGGACCUAGUGCCGAUUCUGUCCCGGAAUGUGUUGGUUACGGUGUUCUCGAACAGACCUCGGAUGAAACGCCGAUCAGCGACGCUCUAGAUUUGGGUACUUUCAGGACCCGUCUUGAAACACGGAC
rnacentral:rRNA from 1 species